CCCCUCUCAGGGUCACGCCUGGGGAGUUUCCAGUACUCUACCAGUCUUGACUACAGGAGGGAGAGUAAAGAAGAGGCAUUCCCAUUCCAUUCCUAGCUUGGGCAGUGGCUAGAGAGUGGAAGGCAAACUGCUAGAAGU